rnacentral:rRNA from 1 species
UACGUAGGGUGCGAGCGUUGUCCGGAAUUACUGGGCGUAAAGAGUUCGUAGGCGGUUUGUCGCGUCGUUUGUGAAAACCCGGGGCGUCAACUUACGGGCGUUGCAGGCGAUACGGGCGAGACUUGAGUGUUUCUAGGGGAGACUGGAAUUCCUGGUGUAGCGGUGAAAUGCGCAGAUAUCAGGAGGAACACCGGUGGCGAAGGCGGGUCUCUGGGAAACAACUGACGCUGAGGAACGAAAGCGU